UACGUAGGGGGCGAGCGUUGUCCGGAAUCAUUGGGCGUAAAGCGCGUGUAGGCGGCCCGGUAAGUCCGCUGUGAAAGUCCAGGGCUCAACCCUGGGAUGCCGGUGGAUACUGUCGGGCUCGAGUCCGGAAGAGGCGAGUGGAAUUCCUGGUGUAGCGGUGAAAUGCGCAGAUAUCAGGAGGAACACCGGUGGCGAAGGCGGUUCUCUGGGAAUGUUCUGACGCUGCGGAGCGAAAGUGUGGGGAGCGAACAGG
rnacentral:rRNA from 1 species